rnacentral:snRNA from 1 species
GCAGGUGACGAGGUCUUAGCCUCCAUCGCUGAUGGCCAGCGUUGGUUCUGCUGAUCCAGGUGGGCACCCUUUCCGUGUCAUCAUGGCAUAUGCUUCCUUCCUCAAAUGGCCUGCUUGAUGAAGCAGGAGGACCUUCCGAGACAGAGGAAGAUACUGCUUCAUCAAGGGUACAUAAGCAUCCAUGCCCCCUCCUAGAACUUUCCAGUAAACUCUAGUGGUGCCUGUGCAAAAGAGUGAAGAUAUUAGACAUGACUGAUCGGAACUGACGUAGCCUGCUUGC